AACGAACGCUGGCGGCAUGCCUAACACAUGCAAGUCGAACGAGACCUUCGGGUCUAGUGGCGCACGGGUGCGUAACGCGUGGGAACCUGCCCUUAGGUUCGGAAUAACUCCCCGAAAGGGGUGCUAAUACCGGAUAAUGUCUUCGGACCAAAGAUUUAUCGCCUUUGGAUGGGCCCGCGUUGGAUUAGCUAGUUGGUAGGGUAAAAGCCUACCAAGGCGACGAUCCAUAGCUGGUCUGAGAGGAUGAUCAGCCGCACUGGGACUGAGACACGGCCCAGACUCCUACGAGAGGCAGCAGUGGGAAUAUUGGACAAUGGGCGAAAGCGUGAUCCAGCAAUGCCGGGUGAGUGAUGAAGGCCUUAGGGUUGUAAAGCUCUUUUACCCGGGAUGAUAAUGACGGUACCGGGAGAAUAAGCUCCGGCUAACUCCGUG
rnacentral:rRNA from 1 species